rnacentral:rRNA from 1 species
AGUGUAGAUUCAGAGUUUGAUCCUGGCUCAGAGCGAACGCUGGCGGCAGGCUUAACACAUGCAAGUCGAGCGGGCGUAGCAAUACGUCAGCGGCAGACGGGUGAGUAACGCGUGGGAACGUACCUUUUGGUUCGGAACAACACAGGGAAACUUGUGCUAAUACCGGAUAAGCCCUUACGGGGAAAGAUUUAUCGCCGAAAGAUCGGCCCGCGUCUGAUUAGCUAGUUGGUAGGGUAAUGGCCUACCAAGGCGACGAUCAGUAGCUGGUCUGAGAGGAUGAUCAGCCACAUUGGGACUGAGACACGGCCCAA